CGAAGNCAGCUUGCUAGACUGUAACUGACGCUGAGGCACGAAAGCGUGGGGNUCAAACAGGAUUAGAUACCCUGGUANNCCACGCCGUAAACGAUGAAUGCUAGCUGUUAGCGAUAUACUGUUAGCGGCACAGAGAAAUCGUUAAGCAUUCCACCUGGGGAGUACGCCGGCAACGGUGAAACUCAAAGGAAUUGACGGGGGCCCGCACAAGCGGAGGAACAUGUGGUUUAAUUCGAUGAUACGCGAGGAACCUUACCUGGGCUUAAAUUGCAGUGGAAUAACGUGGAAACAUGUUAGCCUUCGGGCCGCUGUGAAGGUGCUGCAUGGUUGUCGUCAGCUCGUGCCGUGAGGUGUCGGCUUAAGUGCCAUAACGAGCGCAACCCUCAUCGAUAGUUACUAACAGGUUAAGCUGAGGACUCUAUCGAGACUGCCGACGUAAGUCGUGAGGAAGGUGGGGAUGACGUCAAAUCAGCACGGCCCUUACGUCCAGGGCUACACACGUGUUACAAUGGGGGGUACAAAGGGCAGCUACCUGGCGACAGGAUGCUAAUCUCAAAAACCUCUCUCAGUUCGGAUUGGAGUCUGCAACCCGACUCCAUGAAGCUGGAUUCGCUAGUAAUCGCGCAUCAGCCACGGCGCGGUGAAUACGUUCCCGGGCCUUGUACACACCGCCCGUCAAGCCAUGGGAGCCGGGGGGACCUGAAGUAUGCAACCGUAAGGAGCGUCCUAGGGUAAAACUGGUGACUGGGGCU
rnacentral:rRNA from 1 species